rnacentral:lncRNA from 1 species
CUGAAAUGCUGGCUUUGAAGCAGCUAGGCGUGUCUUUUCCCUACUUUUCUCGUAGGGUAAGGAAUAGUUACUCUCUCUUGCAUGUAAACUUAUUACGUCAGCCAUUACAAUACUAGACAAAGCAAAGAAAAAUUAUCUAAAAUCCUAUGGGAUUUAUGAGUUUGGACUGAUACAAUUAGAAAAAAGAAAUCUAAGCUAAGCUUAUAUUUUCAAUAUCUAGGACCC